rnacentral:piRNA from 1 species
UGAGUUUUAGAGGUGACUUUAAAUUCGGAC